rnacentral:rRNA from 1 species
UACGAAGGGAGCUAGCGUUGUUCGGAAUCACUGGGCGUAAAGCGCACGUAGGCGGAUGUGUCAGUCAGGGGUGAAAGUCCCGGAGCUCAACUUCGGAACUGCCUUUGAUACAGCACGUCUUGAGUCCGAUAGAGGGUGGGUGGAAUUCCUAGUGUAGAGGUGAAAUUCGUAGAUAUUAGGAAGAACACCGGUGGCGAAGGCGGCCCACUGGAU